rnacentral:rRNA from 1 species
UACGUAGGGUGCGAGCGUUGUCCGGAAUUAUUGGGCGUAAAGAGCUCGUAGGCGGUCUGUCGCGUCGGCUGUGAAAUCCCGAGGCUCAACCUCGGGUCUGCAGUCGAUACGGGCAAACUAGAGUAUUGCAGGGGAGACUGGAAUUCCUGGUGUAGCGGUGAAAUGCGCGGAUAUCAGGAGGAACACCGGUGGCGAAGGCGGGUCUCUGGGCAAUAACUGACGCUGAGGAGCGAAAGCGUGGGGAGCGAACAGG